ACGGGUGAGUAACGCGCGGGUAACCUACCCUGUACACACGGAUAACAUACCGAAAGGUAAUGCUAAUACGGGAUAAUAUAUUUGAGAGGCAUCUCUUGAAUAUCAAAGGUGAGCCAGUACAGGAUGGACCCGCGUCUGAUUAGCUAGUUGGUAAGGUAACGGCUUACCAAGGCGACGAUCAGUAGCCGACCUGAGAGGGUGAUCGGCCACAUUGGAACUGAGACACGGUCCAA
rnacentral:rRNA from 1 species